UUUCCACUUUUGCCCUGGCGACCGAUUCCACUCCUCUCAUCUCGGGACUCCCACUCCUCUCGCGUUCCUCUCUCCGACAGCCCCAAAUCCCUAGCUCACCCACUCCUCCCUAGUGUCGUUGCUGCCGCCUCCCACUCGCCGGCAUCGUUGAGCCUCCCUCUAGCCGGUGUCUCCUCUCCCAUUCCCCUCGCUCACCUACUCCCCUCCAAAGAUGGCGUCGUCCCCUCUGCCUGUCUGGUGUCCUCGCCUAUCUUCCAAAGAUUGCUUUUUUUUUACUCCAACGCAUCUGAAGCGGUGAUGGGUACUUGUGCGGAGGCGGCGGAGGCGGCGGAGGCGGCGGCGGCGCUGUAUCUAAAGAGGGCACCAUAGCAGCAAUGGCAGCAUUGGAUCUGAAGCGGUUGACGGCACCGUUGCGGCGGGAGGAGCAAUUAUGGCGAGCACUACCACGACGGUGAGUCCUUGUGUUUGUACUCUGUACUGAUGCUGCUACUUAAGUGAUGCUGCGACAGAGUGGUUCUGCUCCGAUGAUGCUACUGUAUUUCUGCUCUAGUGAUGGUGUUGUAGUAGUAGUUCUGCUCUAGUGAUGUUGCUGCUUUAGAUCUUGUGAAGUUAUGAUGGAGCUCAAGUCUAGUAAAGUUCUUGUGAUGGAGUAAACAUCACUGAAUUUUGCUUGCAGUGUUGUUCACUGAAUUUUCCUUGCAGUUUUGUUCACUGAAUUUUGCAUGUGAACUUUUGGCUGCUCCUUGUGAUGUUUACUAAAUUUUACUCCAUUAACAUAUGCUUGUAGUGAUGUGCAGGUAGUAAAGUUUUACUGAGCUCACUAAAGCUUGUGCUUGUGCUUCAGAUCUGCUUUUUUGCUUGUGAGGAACAAAGGGAACAAAAGGAGUACUGCUCUAGUGAUGCUCUACUGACUUGCUGUACAUUUGUGGGAAUAACUUGAUUUCUUCUUGUACAUUUUCAGUUAAAAGAUGUUUGGUGUAUGCUUGCUUGUUGUACAUGAUGGAGGAUUAUUGGAGUAAUUUGAGUAAGCAUUUUUUCUGUUUGCGUUGUUGCAGUCCAAGACGAUUGAUCGAUGCAGCUGCUACCUGCUGCUGCUGUAUGCACCAUGUCUGAAGAAGACCCCUCUGUGGACCGAACUCUCUGGAGUACUGUAAGCAUGC
rnacentral:lncRNA from 1 species